UACGGAGGGGACUAGCGUUGUUCGGAAUUACUGGGCGUAAAGCGCACGUAGGCGGAUUUGUAAGUCAGGGGUGAAAUCCCGGGGCUCAACCCCGGAACUGCCUUUGAUACUGGCAUUCUCGAGUCCGGAAGAGGUGAGUGGAAUUCCGAGUGUAGAGGUGAAAUUCGUAGAUAUUCGGAGGAACACCAGUGGCGAAGGCGGCUCACUGGUCCGGUACCGACGCUGAGGAGCGAAAGCCAGGGGAGCAAACGGG
rnacentral:rRNA from 1 species